rnacentral:rRNA from 1 species
AUACGGAGGGUCCGAGCGUUAUCCGGAAUCAUUGGGUUUAAAGGGUCCGUAGGCGGGAAUCUAAGUCAGUGGUGAAAUCUUGCAGCUCAACUGUAAAAUUGCCAUUGAUACUGGAUUUCUUGAAUUAGUGUGAAGUGGUUAGAAUGUGUAGUGUAGCGGUGAAAUGCAUAGAUAUUACAUAGCAUACCAAUUGCGAAGGCAGAUCACUAACACUAUAUUGACGCUAAGGGACGAAAGCGUGGGGAGCGAACAGGAUUAGAUACCCCAGUAGUCC